UACGUAGGGUGCGAGCGUUAAUCGGAAUUACUGGGCGUAAAGCGUGCGCAGGCGGUUUUGUAAGCCAGAUGUGAAAGCCCCGGGCUUAACCUGGGAAUGGCAUUUGGGACUGCAAGGCUUGAGUGCGGCAGAGGAGACUGGAAUUCCUGGUGUAGCAGUGAAAUGCGUUGAUAUCGAUAGGAACUCCGGUGGCGAAGGCGGCACACUGGACCACCACUGACGCUGAUGCGCGAAAGCCAGGGGAGCAAACGGG
rnacentral:rRNA from 1 species